rnacentral:rRNA from 1 species
CGAGGACCCCCACCCCCCCUUCCCCGUCCCGUCUCAAGCGCCGGUAAACUUCGCCACGCCCCAAUCUCCAUUCGCCACAAACCCUAACCGCCCCUCUGUGUCGCGCCGCCGGCCGCCCCGCCACCCUCCUCGCCCUUCCAGGGCUCCGGCGAAGGCUGUAAUCCGCGGGGAGCGGCAGCGAUGGCAUCCACGGCAAAGGUCACCAUCACCCUCGGCCGCAGCGGUCAGGUUGUCAAAAGGCGAACUAUUUCUGAUAUGGGUAAUGAUGAUGAAGUGCCAGUAUCAGGAAGAAAGCGGCCUGUCCGAGAGAGGCUAGGAAAUAAUGUGGCUGAUUCUGAUUUGUAUGGAAGGCAGCAGAGUAAUAAAAGACGGCAAACAGAAAGCAGUAGCUCGCAGCUUGGAGAUGAUGGUUUGGCUCGCCAGAUUGGCAGGGAUGAUUUAAGGCUGAAGCUUAUGCGGAAAGGCUUGACACAGAAGAGCAACAGUGAGGCAGAACAGAAUGGAGUGGAUCUCCGUGAAAAGCUUUCCAGGAAGUCAAAGAAACUCCAGGGAUAUGAAGCAAGAAGGGGUGAUCCAGAAUCCAGGUCUAGUUAUGAUGAGGGAGAAAUCCCAGAAACAGGAUCUGGAUAUGGUUCGAGGGGGAGAGUCCCAGAGUCAAGAGCCUCUACUCUUGUAAGCCAAGUGCCUUCUUCAAGGAAUGCAGAUGGGUUGUUCAAGUUGGAGCCUUCAGGAAAACCUUAUCCCUCGUGGACCGAUGAUUGUUUGAGGUAUACGUCCCCAGACAAGCUUCCAAGUGUUCGAAGAGACAUGACUCCCCCAAGAAGUGUUCGAAGAGGCAUCUCUCCCCCGAGGGCCAUUCGGAGAGGCAUGUCUCCUCCGAUAAAUGCUCGAAGAGGCAUGUCUCCCCCGAGAGGUGCUCGAAGAGGCAUGUCUCCUCCAAGAAGUGCUCGAAGAGGCAUGUCUCCUCCAAGAAGUGUUCAAAGAGGCAUGUCUCCUCCAAGAAGUGUUCGAAGAGUCAUGUCUCCCCCAAGAACAUAUGAUCAUACAGGGUCCAUUCCAUCCCUUCGAUCUGUCGGUACCACAAGACCUUCUAGUCAUAUCACAAGAGAUGCUGCUGACACAUUAAGAACCCAUCAACCUUACGAAGACAGCUCUACCAUUGGGAUUGAUAGGGGACAACAAACUAAUGGAAUCACACAAUCUGGACGCCGGCCUACAUCCCCUAUGCUGAAAGAAGUACCGUCGACAGUUACUGGAUUACUGAAUUCAAUGGGACUUGAGAAGUAUGUUGUUCUCUUUCAGGCUGAGGAGGUGGAUAUGGCUGCAUUGAGUCAGAUGAAAGACAGCGACCUCAAAGAUAUGGGAGUACCAAUGGGCCCCAGGAAGAAGAUACUCCUUGCGACGGCACCUUAUGGAAAACAACGGCAAAGAUGAGCAGCAUGUGCUCUGGGACGUGGAACGAACAUUUGCUGGGAAAUGCAUUUUUAUUGGUGUAAGCAUGCUCUACUGCGGAUCUUGUAUAUCCUCACUGGUAGUCUGGCUUAGUUAACCUUUUUUGUUGCUGAUAGAUUAAUGUCGCCCUGUUCUUGGCUUGUGUAAAGUCAUGUCUGUCAGCUGAUGCUCCCAAAUCCUACCAUUCGGGAUGUGCUGCCCUGCUGUAUUUGUUAAGAGCAGCAGGGUUUGAAACAGAGUGGAUACAACAUGGUCUAGCACCAUCAUCAAUCUGGACUUUCUGUAUUUUUGGGAACAUGGUGAGAGAUACAACUAAUCCAAUCUAUUAUGUGUGCCAAAUGGCCAUCGAAUUCUACUAGUGUUUUGCAUGGAGGAAGUAGCGGAUUGUUUUUAAAGUUUG